rnacentral:rRNA from 1 species
AUUGAACGCUGGCGGCAGGCCCAACACAUGCAAGUCGAACGGUAACAGGAAACAGCUUGCUGUUUCGCUGACGAGUGGCGGACGGGUGAGUAAUGUCUGGGAAACUGCCUGAUGGAGGGGGAUAACUACUGGAAACGGUAGCUAAUACCGCAUAACGUCGCAAGACCAAAGAGGGGGACCUUCGGGCCUCUUGCCAUCGGAUGUGCCCAGAUGGGAUUAGCUAGUAGGUGGGGUAACGGCUCACCUAGGCGACGAUCCCUAGCUGGUCUGAGAGGAUGACCAGCCACACUGGAACUGAGACACGGUCCAGACUCCUACGGGAGGCAGCAGUGGGGAAUAUUGCACAAUGGGCGCAAGCCUGAUGCAGCCAUGCCGCGUGUAUGAAGAAGGCCUUCGGGUUGUAAAGUACUUUCAGCGGGGAGGAAGGGAGUAAAGUUAAUACCUUUACUCAUUGACGUUACCCGCAGAAGAAGCACCGGCUAACUCCGUG